AGGAUGAAUGCUGGCGGCGUGCCUAAUACAUGCAAGUCGAGCGGUAAGGCCCUUCGGGGUACACGAGCGGCGGACGGCUGAGUAACGCGUGGGAACAUGCCCCAAAGUGAGGGAUAAGCAUCGGAAACGGUGUCUAAUACCGCAUAUGGUCUUCGGAUUAAAGGAUUUAUCCGCUUUGGGAGUGGCCCGCGUACGAUUAGGUUGUUGGUGAGGUAAUAGCUCACCAAGCCUACGAUCGUUAACUGGUCUGAGAGGAUGAUCAGUCAGACUGGAACUGAGACACGGUCCAGACUCCUACGGGAGGCAGCAGUAAGGAAUCUUCCACAAUGGGCGAAAGCCUGAUGGAGCAACGCCGCGUGCAGGACGAAGGCCUUCGGGUCGUAAACUGCUUUAUGAGUGAAGAAUAUGACGGUAACUCAUGAAUAGCACCGGCUAACUACGUGCCAGCAGGCCG
rnacentral:rRNA from 1 species